GACGAACGCCGGCGGCGUGCUUAACACAUGCAAGUCGAACGGAAAGGCCCUGCUUUUGUGGGGUGCUCGAGUGGCGAACGGGUGAGUAACACGUGAGUAACCUGCCCUUGACUUUGGGAUAACUUCAGGAAGCUGGGGCUAAUACCGGAUAGGAGCUCCUGCUGCAUGGUGGGGGUUGGAAAGUUUCGGCGGUUGGGGAUGGACUCGCGGCUUAUCAGCUUGUUGGUGGGGUAGUGGCUUACCAAGGCUUUGACGGGUAGCCGGCCUGAGAGGGCGGCCGGCCACAUUGGGACUGAGAUACGGCCCAGACUCCUACGGGAGGCAGCAGUGGGGAAUAUUGCACAAUGGGCGGAAGCCUGAUGCAGCAACGCCGCGUGCGGGAUGACGGCCUUCGGGUUGUAAACCGCUUUCGCCUGUGACGAAGCGUGAGUGACGGUAAUGGGUAAAGAAGCACCGGCUAACUACGUG
rnacentral:rRNA from 1 species